AGUGGCCGGGAGGACGCGGGGCGGCGGGCAGGGCCUCCCAAGCCCGGCUGUCCUCGGCCCGUGCGCGGCGCCCGGAGUCCCACUCCUCCCGAUGCUGUCCCCCGCGCCCGGAGGCCGAGCCAAUUCUCUGGGAAGUUCCCGGCUUGGGAGCGGAGCGGCCGGUCGGAAGAACCUCGGGUGCUGGCGCGCCUGAAGUUGCAGACCAGACUGAAAUGUGCGAGACAUGUGCCUUUUUCUUAGGAAAGGCCCCAGGAGCAGAGUGGAGCUCAGAAAGACUCAGCGUGGGUGCUGGGUUCCGGCGCGACCAGCCUGAUACCUAGGUCAGCAUCUCAGCCACACAAGCAGGCGGCAGUUCUGUCAGGAAUUACUACAUCUGGUGAUUCCACUUCUCAUAGCUCACCGCUGGGAGAAUAAUUCCUCAGGAUUAACAAGAUCUAUUCCAGAGGAUCCUCACUGCUGAAGCGAUUUUAGAAGACAGUGUGGUCUGUUGACAGUAUGGAAUAUUCUUUACCCAUCAGAUAUGAUCUGUAUGUGAUUGGAAGGAAAUAAACCAACUGCUAACAACACUUCUCUAUAGAUGUUCAGAUUCAGUAAUUUUUGUAUUUUUCUCUACACUUUUGUUUUUUCAAAUUUCCUAGCACAAGAAGACUUUGACUUACUGCACAUGUCAUUUUAAAUGACCUUUAUAAAGACUCUAUAGAAACAAUUUGCUAUGUCAUGAAAGUAACAAUCAAAAAAAGUAUGCACAUUGUGGCCACAAAGUAAAACUUGUGUGGAAGGCUUCCUUGGAAAACAACCUAUAACUAACUUUCUGGGAGUAAAGCUUCAGGUGGAAGAACAAUUGGAUCAAACUUGGAAAACAUGCCCCCAGUUUGUCUACUCCAUUGAACUUUGCAUGCUUGGAGCCCCUGGCCUCAGCACACUCAAUCGCACAAGCCAGCCUGCAGCACCUGUACAGCACCAUGGGAGUCCCCUGCAGAGCUGCAACUUUGAGAGUGGGUAUAGUGACGUAACUCAGGUUCUUCAAGGGAUGAACACUCCAACUUUGAAACCACUAGC
rnacentral:lncRNA from 1 species